CAACUUUCAACAACGGAUCUCUUGGCUCUCGCAUCGAUGAAGAACGCAGCGAAAUGCGAUAACUAAUGUGAAUUGCAGAAUUCAGUGAAUCAUCGAGUCUUUGAACGCACCUUGCGCCCUUUGGUACUCCGAAGGGCAUGCCAGUUUGAGUGUCAGU
rnacentral:rRNA from 1 species